CAGAACUGAGUAGCUUUAAUCAGAACAUGUCUGCUGUUGCUACUUAAAAAAUGACUUGAACAGUUAAUGUGUUUAAACUGCGUCUGUGCCGCCGCCAUCUUGGGACAGACAACUGAUCUUAAAGACUCAGAAAAAGAUUGUUGUACUGCUUUUGGAUGUUCAUGUGAAAGAAAUGCUAAACUAAGCAACAUGGAAUAACAUUUCACAGAUGAAAAAUGUGUUUUACAAUAUUAUACUAUUACUAAAGUGUUGAAUUUAAUAUCACAAAAGGUAACAUUAAUCCUUCUUUUAAGCUAACAGUAAGUGACUGUCCUGAUACUGAAUUGCUAAUGCUAGCUUGUGUCAGGUUAUGUAUGUUUUAUUUAAGUGAUUAUUAAUAUCUCAGUAAGAUGCUGAAAACGAUGUUUGUUAUGUGUGUCACUGAACAGUUCCUCACAUCAUUCCCCAUAGACCCCCAUGUGAAAAAAUCCAAACUUUACAUCAGAAAUAAACAUGUUUACAGCCUGGUACAAAAUAACGGUUUUGGUCUAUUAAGAUAAUUUCACACUUUAUAACAACUGUUUAUAUAACUCACCUGUUUAAAUUGUAUCAAGGCUUAAAUCAGCAGACUGUCACUAGCUUCAAAAUAUUUAGAAAAAGGUUGGUAAGAAUACCUGCAUUUUUUAUUUAAUCAAGUGUCCUGUACUAUAAAUACAUGUCUGGCAUUUGUAGUAAACCGCUUGAAAAUCUGUUGGAAAUUCAGGGAGAAAUUAUGAUUUUAAUUGUGGAUAGACCUUCUGCCUCCAUAGACAAACAUGCAUUAGGAGGAGCACAAUGUUCGUUAGGAAAUGGCCAAUGUGGUGU